UGCACGCCGAAAGACUAAGGUUUCCUUCGCAAUGGUGAUCAGCGAAGGGUUAGUCGGGCCUAAGGAGAUGGUGAAAACCGGAUCUGAUGGACAUACGGUUAAUAUUCCGUAACUUCUUUAUAUUUCGAUGGAGUGACGGAGGACACAAGUAAGAGCACAUUAUUGGAUUUGUGUAUUUUAUUUUAAGAAUUGUUUCUUAGGAAAAUCCGGGAAACUGACUUUAAUGUCGAAUUUCGUAAAUAGAUUAAAUUUCUUCCCUCGGGUUGGAAAAUUCUUACGAAGAGCCUUCCAAGAAAAGCUUCUAAGGUUAAGUAUAAAGAACCCGUACCGUAAACCGACACAGGUAGUCAGGUCGAGAAGACCAAGGCGAACGAGUGAUAAUUCCCCAAGGAACUCGGCAAAAUAGCAGCCGUAACUUCGGAAUAAGGCUUGCCCUUCUGUAAAAGGAGGGGCCGCAGCGAAAGUAACCCUGCCGACUGUUUAUCAAAAACACAGCUCCCUGCGAACUCGCAAGAGGAUGUAUAGGGGGUGACGCCUGACCAAUGCCAGAAGGUUAAAUAUUGGUGGUACGUUCCUCACUGCGUUUGGAACGCAAGUGCGAAGUAGUAAGGUGUAAGUAGUAAGAGACGAAAAAUUUGCUUUGCAAAUUUUUACUUAUUACUUAAUCCUUAUUACUUAAUACUUGCUCCGAGCGAAGCGAGGAGCGUGCUGUCUGAUAUAAGCCCUGGUGAAUGUCGGCCGUAACUAUAACGGUCCUAAGGUCGUAUCUCUUAAUUUUUAGGGGGUACGAUGACUGGGACUGUUAUGUUUACACGAUAAACAAGAUAGAUAGUUUGUGCAUUAAUAAUUUAAGGAAUUAAAGUUGCCUAUUUAUCAUUUAAUUAUGAUGAAUGUCAAAAAAAUCUAGCUAUAUGCUGGAAAAUCCGAGAAUCUGAAGGUACUCGCUACAUUUUUUGUAGCAGUAAAAAUCCGAUCAGUGCGGACAAUCAGCAGGAAAGAUUAAAAAUUGAAUCUCAGUUUUUAAAAUCCUCAGAGACUAAACGCUAGACUAAGUAAAUACUUAGAAAGUAUAGUCCGAACUACAUAGCGAUAUGUAGAGACAGAAAAAGCUGUCCACUUUGAUUUUUCAAAGGAGUAACAAAUUUGAGCGAAAUUCCUUGUCUAGUAAUUGUAGACGUGCACGAAUGGCGUAACGAGUGGGGUACUGUCUCGGGGAACAGCUCGGUGAAAAUACAAUACCGGUGAAGAUGCCGGUUACCUGCAGCUAGACGAAAAGACCCCAGGAGCUUUACUAUAGCUUGGUAUUGGGUGUAUGUUUUUGAUGCGUAGCAUAGGUGGGAGACUUUGAAGGGCAGUUUUUGGAUUGUCUGGAGUCAACAGUGAAAUACCACUCUUUAAAAAUGUACAUUCUAAUCUCGACGGAAAAAACGGCGGGAGACAGUAUCUGGCAGGUAGUUUUAGUGGGGCGCUAUCCUCCUAAAAAGUAACGGAGGAGCCUAUUAAGGUCAGCUAAGCGCGAAUGGAAACCGUGCUGAUAGUGUAAUGGCACAAGCUGGCUUGAUUGUGAGGCGUGCAUGCCGAACAAGUGCGAAAGCAGAGCAUAGUGAACCGACACCUCGCAUUAGACGCGGGUGAAGAUUAACGGAUAAAAGCUACCCUGGGGAUAACAGGCUGGUAUCGCCUAAGAGUUCAUAUCGACGGCGAUGUUCGGCACCUCGAUGUCGGCUCAACUUAUCCUGGGGCUGGAGAAGGUCCCAAGGGUUUGGCUGUUCGCCAAUUAAAAAGUUACGCGAGCUGGGUUCAGACCGUCGAGAAGCGAAGCUUCUCGACAAAUAACAAGUAAAAAGUCUUGUUUCGCGAUUCGACAGUCUGAAUCAAAACAAAACAUAGAGUUUUUUCGUCUAUGAAAAAGAAAAGAAACCAACCACACGGCGGUCCGUGAAAAGUAAUUUUCACGAGAAAAAGUCAACUUAUAUCGGUAAAAUCCUAUCAUUUUUUUUGAGGACAAUACCGAGGGAAAACUGAGUUAAAAGUUGAAAGUUCAUAAAGUUUAUAAAGUAGUAAAAAUCGCACGACGAUUUUCAAAAAACUUUUAACUUUAGAAACUUUAAAAACUUUAUAAACUCUUUUGCCCGUAGAGACUAAAUGUUGACCUCUGAUUUUUUAAAAAAUCAGACGAAGUUAUAGUCCGAUCCCGUUAGUAAUAACGGUGUUGAAAACUAUUAGUCACAAGCUAAGAGUCAUCAGCUACAUAUUGCGUGAGACAGGUUGGUCUCCUAUCUGCUGCAGGCGUUGAUUCUUGAGAAGAUUUGCUCCUAGUACGAGAGGACCGGAGUGAACUAACCUCUGGUGUACCAGCUGUUCCGCCAGGAGCACCGCUGGGUAGCUAUGUUGGGAAUGGAUAACCUCUGAAAGCAUCUAAGAGGGAAGCCAACUUCAAGAUUAGGAAUCGUUUAAGAUCCCUGAGAGAUGAUCAGGUGAUAGGCUCUAGGUGUAAGCACAGUAAUGUGUUCAGCCGAGGAGUACUAAUGCAUCGAGACAUUUCU
rnacentral:rRNA from 1 species